rnacentral:rRNA from 1 species
AUGAACGCUAGCUACAGGCUUAACACAUGCAAGUCGAGGGGCAGCAUUUUUCUAGCAAUAGAAGAGAUGGCGACCGGCGCACGGGUGAGUAACACGUAUCCAACCUACCGAUAACUCCGGAAUAGCCUUUCGAAAGAAAGAUUAAUACCGGAUAGUAUACGAAUAUCGCAUGAUAUUUUUAUUAAAGAAUUUCGGUUAUCGAUGGGGAUGCGUUCCAUUAGUUUGUUGGCGGGGUAACGGCCCACCAAGACUACGAUGGAUAGGGGUUCUGAGAGGAAGGUCCCCCACAUUGGAACUGAGACACGGUCCAAACUCCUACGGGAGGCAGCAGUGAGGAAUAUUGGUCAAUGGGCGCAGGCCUGAACCAGCCAAGUAGCGUGAAGGAUGAAGGCUCUAUGGGUCGUAAACUUCUUUUAUAUGGGAAUAAAGUUUUCCACGUGUGGAAUUUUGUAUGUACCAUAUGAAUAAGGAUCGGCUAACUCCGUGCCAGCAGCCGCGGUAAUACGGAGGAUCCGAGCGUUAUCCGGAUUUAUUUGGUUUAAAGGGAGCGUAGGUGGAUUGUUAAGUCAGUUGUGAAAGUUUGCGGCUCAACCGUAAAAUUGCAGUUGAAACUGGCAGUCUUGAGUACAGUAGAAGUGGGCGGAAUUCGUGGUGUAGCGGUGAAAUGCUUAGAUAUCACGAAGAACUCCGAUUGCGAAGGCAGCUCACUAGACUGUUACUGACACUGAUGCUCGAAAGUGUGGGUAUCAAACAGGAUUAGAUACCCUGGUAGUCCACGCCGUAAACGAUGAAUACUAGGUGUCGGGAGGCAUUGCCUUUCGGUGCCGUCGCAAACGCAGUAAGUAUUCCACCUGGGGAGUACGUUCGCAAGAAUGAAACUCAAAGGAAUUGACGGGGGCCCGCACAAGCGGAGGAACAUGUGGUUUAAUUCGAUGAUACGCGAGGAACCUUACCCGGGCUUAAAUUGCAAAUGAAUAAUCAAGAAAUUGGUUAGCCGUAAGGCAUUUGUGAAGGUGCUGCAUGGUUGUCGUCAGCUCGUGCCGUGAGGUGUCGGCUUAAGUGCCAUAACGAGCGCAACCCUUAUCUUUAGUUACUAACAGGUCAUGCUGAGGACUCUAGAGAGACUGCCGUCGUAAGAUGUGAGGAAGGUGGGGAUGACGUCAAAUCAGCACGGCCCUUACGUCCGGGGCUACACACGUGUUACAAUGGGGGGUACAGAAGGCAGCUACACGGCGACGUGAUGCUAAUCCCAAAAACCUCUCUCAGUUCGGAUCGAAGUCUGCAACCCGACUUCGUGAAGCUGGAUUCGCUAGUAAUCGCGCAUCAGCCAUGGCGCGGUGAAUACGUUCCCGGGCCUUGUACACACCGCCCGUCAAGCCAUGAAAGCCGGGGGUACCUGAAGUACGUAACCGCAAGGAGCGUCCUAGGGUAAAACUGGUAAUUGGGGCU